AUGUGCGGGAUGGACGCCGCUAACCCUGAUCUGCCGCAGCUGGAGCAGCAGGACAAUGGCAAUGGCAUCAGCAUAGAGAAGACGACUGACUCAUCAUCGCUUGACGCCGGCCAUGGCGAGCCCUUCCACAACUACCGCGGAUGGAAGGCCAUGCCUUACGUCAUAGGGAAUGAGACUUUUGAGAAACUUGGCACGAUCGGGACACUAUCGAACUUGCUCGUGUACCUGACAACAGUGUACCACAUGAAGAGCGUCAAUGCUGCCACCCUCCUCAACUUCUUCACCGGCAGCUGCAACCUCGCCACCGUCCUGGGCGCCUUCAUCAGCGACACCUACGUCGGCCGCUACACCACCCUGGCGGCCGCCACCAUCGCCUCCUUCGUCGGCAUGGUCCUACUCACCCUCACUUCCGCGCUCCACUCCCUCCACCCUCCUGCCUGCAUCUCCAAAGGCCAAUGUGAGGGCCCCACCCCCUCCCAGCUUGUUGUGCUCCUUGUGUCCUUCUUCUUCCUCGUUAUCGGGGCCGGCGGCAUCCGCCCAUGCAACUUGGCAUUCGGGGUUGACCAGUUUGAUCCACACACCGCCGAUGGACGGCGUGGCAUCACUAGCUUCUUCAACUGGUACUACUUCACCUACACUGUCGCCAUGAUGAUCUCUGCCACUGUCAUCAUCUACCUCCAAAGCGAUGUCAGCUGGGCGCUAGGACUCGCUGUGCCUGCAGUGCUCAUGGGCCUCUCAUGCGCCGUCUUCUUCAUGGGCACACGCCUCUACGUCCGCAUCAGCCCGGAGGGUAGCCCAUUCACCAGCUUCACACAGGUCCUCGUUGCUGCCUUCCGCAAGCGCCACCUCCGACAAAAUAACAACACCGUCGAGUUGUUUGACCCGCCGCACAGGAGCAAGCUCGUCGCCAAGCUGGCAUACACUGACCAGUUCACGUGCCUUGACAAGGCGGCCAUGCAGACCACAGAGGACGUGGUCUGCUCCGACGGGAAGACGUUGGCAGACCCGUGGCGGUUGUGCACGAUGCAACAGGUGGAGGAGGUGAAGUGCCUAGCGCGUGUCAUCCCGGUAUGGUCAUCAGGAAUUGUAUACUUCGUGGUGAUCACCCAGCUAGGCACCUACAUCGUGUUCCAGGCGGAGCAGACCGAUCGCCGGAUUAGCAACUCCGCCAGCUUCAAGAUCCCCGAGGGCUCCUUCGUCAUCUUCCAAAUGUUCGCCCUCACGAUCUGGAUCCCCGUGUACGACCGGCUGGUGGUGCCGGCGCUCCGCCGCUUCACUAAGCGCGAAGGCGGCAUCACCCAGCUCCAGCGGAUCGGCGUUGGGCUGGUGCUCUCUGUGGUGACUAUGCUGGUGUCUGCAGCGGUGGAGCAUCGGCGGCGCCGGACGGCCAUGAUGUCAUGCUUCUGGCUGGUACCACAACAGCUGUUGGUGGGGCUGUCGGAGGCGUUCACAGUCGUCGGGCUGACCGAGUUCUACUAUAGGCAGUUCCCGGAGAACAUGAAGAGCGUGGCGGGGGCGCUCUUCUUCCUGGGUGUCGCGGUGGCGAGCUUCGCGAGCGGGCUCAUGGUGACACUGGUGCACCGGGUGACCAGGAGACGGGACGGGCGGCCGGACUGGCUGGCGCAGGACCUGAACGAGGGAAGGGUUGACUUGUUCUACCUCGUCACCGCCGCUAUAGCUGCCGCCAACCUCAUCUACUUCGUGGCCUGCGCACGGUGGUUCAGGUUCAACAAGUCCGCCGACGGCGCCCAUGCUAGCAAUGCCAUCGAGCUUGACGAAGGCCCAAACAAGGCUGCAUGCGGUGGCCAUUUAGCUUAA
rnacentral:rRNA from 1 species